CCUACGGGGGGCUGCAGUGGGGAAUAUUGGACAAUGUGGGGAACCCUGAUCCAGCCAUGCCGCGUGUGUGAAGAAGGCCCUCGGGUUGUAAAGCACUUUCAGUGAGGAAGAACGCCUGGUGGUUAAUACCCAUCAGGAAAGACAUCACUCACAGAAGAAGCACCGGCUAACUCCGUGCCAGCAGCCGCGGUAAUACGGAGGGUGCGAGCGUUAAUCGGAAUUACUGGGCGUAAAGCGCGCGUAGGUGGCUUGAUAAGCCGGUUGUGAAAGCCCCGGGCUCAACCUGGGAACGGCAUCCGGAACUGUCAAGCUAGAGUGCAGGAGAGGAAGGUAGAAUUCCCGGUAUAGCGGUGAAAUGCGUAGAGAUCGGGAGGAAUACCAGUGGCGAAGGCGGCCUUCUGGACUGACACUGACACUGAGGUGCGAAAGCGUGGGUAGCAAACAGGAUUAGAUACCCUGGUAGUC
rnacentral:rRNA from 1 species